rnacentral:tRNA from 1 species
ACCUAUUUAGUAUAAUUAGUAUUAUUGACUUCCAAUCAAAAGGCCUGGACAUAUCCAGAAUAGGUA